CACGUAGGGCGCGAGCGUUGUCCGGAAUUAUUGGGCGUAAAGAGCUCGUAGGCGGCCUGUUGCGUCCGCUGUGAAAGCCCGGGGCUUAACCCCGGGUCGGCAGUGGAUACGGGCAGGCUAGAGGUAGGUAGGGGAGAAUGGAAUUCCCGGUGUAGCGGUGAAAUGCGCAGAUAUCGGGAGGAACACCGGUGGCAAAGGCGGUUCUCUGGGCCUUACCUGACGCUGAGGAGCGAAAGCGUGGGGAGCGAACAGG
rnacentral:rRNA from 1 species